UUUCUCUAUUUAUCUGUCAUGUCUGUACCUAAGUUCAUACUGACGCCAUGCAAUGAUUAAUGAUUUUGCAAUUUUGCUAGCAUGUGACUAACCGAUAAAUAAAUGAUGAUGAUUUGAAUAUUACGAAGUUUCCACAAAUGGAUGGUGCACGAAGAUACCAGUAACAAUCCAUUUUUUUUCAAACAAGACUGUGUAGUUGGACAUUGGUAGCAGCGAUCCUUUCAUUUCACUGUGCUUCAAUCCCUUUUUAUCGAUUAAAGUUAAAAUAUAACCAGAAACGAUAGGGAUGGUAACAUUUUUCAUAGACCGUAGACUUGGGUUUGCUGUUGUCGUUUUCCUCUUGCAACUUGUGCAGUUGAUUUUUAACAAAUGAUUUGAAAGAGCACCUUGAAGUUUAUAUGGAUUCCAAUUAGUUUGCAAUGGCAUCAUUUUUCCUAGUCUACAAUUAAUUAAGAUCGACAUUGGAGAAGACAAAGAUGACCCUGCAGUUGAA